UCCAGUAGCAGCUGGAAAUCAAUCAGUCAAUCAAUUAAUCAUAUUUUAUUGCUAUAAGUCAAUAAGCCUAGCACUAUUGAUAUAGGCCAACCUUAUUAUGCUAUUUAUUCCAGGGCUUGACAUUAACUUUUUUAUCUCUUGUCCUUUGGACAAGUAGGACUAUUUUUGUUUACUUGUCAAAGUUUAAGUCACUUGUCCCUCCAAAAAUGUAAAUGGUAUUUAACACCAUUUCUACAUCAUUGUAUAAUGCAAGGAACCACUUUACAAAAUAAAAUGCAUUAGUAGGCUACACUCUGCCUAUUGGUUUCUGAUGCAUAUUCAAGGAGAAGUGGGUAGCUGUAUCCCAAUAUGGCGACAUAGUAUGGGCAAGUGGAUGUGUCGAAUGGAAAGUAGUGGGCGUGUCGAAUGGAAAGUAGUGGGUUUGUCGAAAGGAAAGUAGUGGGCGUGUCGAAAGGAAAGUAGUGGGUUUGUCGAAAGGAAAGUAGUGGGUGUGUCGAAAGGAAAGUAGUGGGUUUGUCGAAAGGAGGUUUGUCGAAAGGAAAGUAGUGGGCGUGUCGAAAGGAAAGUAGUGGGUUUGUCGAAAGGAAAGUAGUGGGUUUGUCGAAAGGAAAGUAGUGGGUUUGUCGAAAGGAAAGUAGUGGGUUUGUCGAAAGGAAAGUAGUGGGUUUGUCGAAAGGAAAGUAGUGGGUUUGUCGAAAGGAAAGUAGUGGGUUUGUCGAAAGGAAAGUAGUGGGUUUGUCGAAAGGAAAGUAGUGGGUUUGUCGAAAGGAAAGUAGUGGGCGUGUCGAAAGGAAAGUGGUGGGUUUCUCAAAAGGAAAGUAGUGGGUUUCUCAAAAGGAAAGUAGUGGGUUUGUCAAAAGAAAAGUAGUGGGUUUGUCGAAAGGAAAGUAGUGGGUUUGUCAAAAGCGCUCUGCUGUAGGUUAGACUGUUUGAUUGAGCAGUGCAAUCAAAGUAGUGCAACUACCGUACCGCAAGAGUUUGGACUUUGAGUGAAUGAAUUUGCGUCAUAUUUCACUGUUGGUUUUACACAAAUAAUAAUUGUAGAUUUUCACUUCUAAAACUGACGAUUGUUUAUUUUUUAUUAAAAGUAUUGAUGAUG